GACUGCGAUGGUUAGCUGGUCUGAGAGGAUGAUCAGCCACACUGGAACUGGAACACGGUCCAGACUCCUACGGGAGGCAGCAGUCGAGAAGCUUCGGCAAUGGGCGAAAGCCUGACCGAGCGACGCCGCGUGAGCGAAGAAGGCCCUUUGGGUUGUAAAGCUCUGUCAGAUUGGGAAGAAGACAGCAUGGAUAAUACCCAUGAUGCUUGACGGUACCUUCAGAGGAAGCACCGGCUAACUCCGUGCCAGCAGCCGCGGUAAUACGGAGGGUGCAAGCGUUGUUCGGAUUCACUGGGUAUAAAGGGUGCGCAGGCGGCCUGAUAAGUCAGGGGUGAAAUAUGACGGCUUAACCGUCAAACUGCCUCUGAAACUGCCAGGCUUGAGUCCGGGAGGGGUAGGUGGAAUUCCAGGUGUAGCGGUGAAAUGCGUAAAUAUCUGGAGGAACACCGGUGGCGAAGGCGGCCUACUGGCCCGGAACUGACGCUCAGGCACGAAAGCUAGGGGAGCGAACGGGAUUAGAUACCCUGGUAGUCCUAGCCGUAAACGAUGGGCACUAGGUGUUGGAGGAGUCUACCCCUUCAGUGCCGCAGCUAACGCAUUAAGUGCCCCACCUGGGGAGUACGAUCGCAAGGUUGAAACUUAAAGGAAUUGACGGGGGCCCGCACAAGCGGUGGAGCAUGUGGUUUAAUUCGAUGCAACGCGAAGAACCUUACCUGGACUUGACAUGCAGGGGACAGGUGUAGAAAUACAUCCUUCUUCGGACCCUUGUACAGGUGCUGCAUGGCUGUCGUCAGCUCGUGUCGUGAAAUGUUGGGUUAAGUCCCGCAACGAGCGCAACCCCUGUCUUCAGUUGCCAUCAGGUAAUGCUGGGAACUCUGGAGAGACUGCCGGUGACAAACCGGAGGAAGGUGGGGACGACGUCAAGUCAUCAUGGCCCUUACGUCCAGGGCUACACACGUGCUACAAUGGCUGGUACAAUGGGCUGCAAUACUGCGAAGUGGAGCGAAUCCCAAAAAGCCAGCCUCAGUUCGGAUUGGAGUCUGCAACUCGACUCCAUGAAGUUGGAAUCGCUAGUAAUCGCGUAUCAGAACGACGCGGUGAAUACGUUCCCGGGCCUUGUACACACCGCCCGUCAAGUCAACCGAGUUGGCUGCACCCCAAGUCGCUGAGCUAACCCGUAAGGGAGGCAAGUGCCCAAGGUGUGGUUGAUAAGGGGGACUAAGUCGUAACAAGGUA
rnacentral:rRNA from 1 species